AUUGAACGCUGGCGGCAGGCCUAACACAUGCAAGUCGAACGGGUGGCGGACGGGUGAGUAAUGUCUGGGAAACUGCCUGGUGGAGGGGGAUCACUACUGGAAACGGUAGCUAAUACCGCAUAACAUCAGAUGUGCCCAGUUGGGAUUAGCUGGUUGGUGGGGUAACGGCUCACAAAGGGGACGAUCCCUAGCUGGGCUGAGAGGAUGACCAGCCACACUGGAACUGAGACACGGUCCAGACUCCUACGGGAGGCAGCAGUGGGGAAUAUUGCACAAUUGGCGCAAGCCUGAUCCAGCCAUGCCGCGUGUAUGAAGAAGGCUUUCGGGUUGUAAAGUACUGUCAGCGGGGAGGCGUUACCCGCAGAAGAAGCCCCGGCUAACUCCGUGCCAGCAGCCGCGGUAAUUC
rnacentral:rRNA from 1 species